CAGUAGCCGCGGUAAUACGAAGGGGGCUAGCGUCGUUCGGAUUUACUGGGCGUAAAGGGCGCGUAGGCGGACUGAUAAGUCAGGGGUGAAAUCCCAAGGCUCAACCUUGGAACUGCCUUUGAUACUGUUUGUCUUGAGUUCGAGAGAGGUAAGUGGAACUGCGAGUGUGGAGGUGAAAUUCGUAGAUAUUCGCAAGAACACCAGUGGCGAAGGCGGCUUACUGGCUCGAAACUGACGCUGAGGCGCGAAAGCGUGGGGAGCAAACAGGAUUAGAGACCCCGGUAGUCCCUGUCUCUUAUAC
rnacentral:rRNA from 1 species